rnacentral:rRNA from 2 species
GGGUUGUGAGGUUAAGCGACUAAGCGUACACGGUGGAUGCCCUGGCAGUCAGAGGCGAUGAAGGGCGUGCUAAUCUGCGAUAAGCGCCGGUAAGGUGAUAUGAACCGUUAUAACCGGCGAUACCCGAAUGGGGAAACCCAGUGUGAUUCGUCACACUAUCAUUAACUGAAUCCAUAGGUUAAUGAGGCGAACCGGGGGAACUGAAACAUCUAAGUACCCCGAGGAAAAGAAAUCAACCGAGAUUCCCCCAGUAGCGGCGAGCGAACGGGGAGGAGCCCAGAGCCUGAAUCAGCAUGUGUGUUAGUGGAAGCGUCUGGAAAGGCGCGCGAUACAGGGUGACAGCCCCGUACACAAAAGCGCAUGUGCUGUGAGCUCGAUGAGUAGGGCGGGACACGUGGUAUCCUGUCUGAAUAUGGGGGGACCAUCCUCCAAGGCUAAAUACUCCUGACUGACCGAUAGUGAACCAGUACCGUGAGGGAAAGGCGAAAAGAACCCCGGCGAGGGGAGUGAAAAAGAACCUGAAACCGUGUACGUACAAGCAGUGGGAGCACCCUUUGGGUGUGACUGCGUACCUUUUGUAUAAUGGGUCAGCGACUUAUAUUCUGUAGCAAGGUUAACCGAAUAGGGGAGCCGGAGGGAAACCGAGUCUUAACCGGGCGUUAAGUUGCAGGGUAUAGACCCGAAACCCGGUGAUCUAGCCAUGGGCAGGUUGAAGGUUGGGUAACACUAACUGGAGGACCGAACCGACUAAUGUUGAAAAAUUAGCGGAUGACCUGUGGCUGGGGGUGAAAGGCCAAUCAAACCGGGAGAUAGCUGGUUCUCCCCGAAAGCUAUUUAGGUAGCGCCUCGUGAAUUCAUCUCCGGGGGUAGAGCACUGUUUCGGCUAGGGGGCCAUCCCGGCUUACCAACCCGAUGCAAACUGCGAAUACCGGAGAAUGUUAUCACGGGAGACACACGGCGGGUGCUAACGUCCGUCGUGAAGAGGGAAACAACCCAGACCGCCAGCUAAGGUCCCAAAGUCAUGGUUAAGUGGGAAACGAUGUGGGAAGGCCCAGACAGCCAGGAUGUUGGCUUAGAAGCAGCCAUCAUUUAAAGAAAGCGUAAUAGCUCACUGGUCGAGUCGGCCUGCGCGGAAGAUGUAACGGGGCUAAACCAUGCACCGAAGCUGCGGCAGCGACACUGUGUGUUGUUGGGUAGGGGAGCGUUCUGUAAGCCUGUGAAGGUGUGUCGUGAGGCAUGCUGGAGGUAUCAGAAGUGCGAAUGCUGACAUAAGUAACGAUAAAGCGGGUGAAAAGCCCGCUCGCCGGAAGACCAAGGGUUCCUGUCCAACGUUAAUCGGGGCAGGGUGAGUCGACCCCUAAGGCGAGGCCGAAAGGCGUAGUCGAUGGGAAACGGGUUAAUAUUCCCGUACUUGGUGUUACUGCGAAGGGGGGACGGAGAAGGCUAUGUUGGCCGGGCGACGGUUGUCCCGGUUUAAGCGUGUAGGUGUGUGUUCCAGGUAAAUCCGGUUCACUUUAACACUGAGGCGUGACGACGAGGCACUACGGUGCUGAAGCAACAAAUGCCCUGCUUCCAGGAAAAGCCUCUAAGCAUCAGGUAACAUCAAAUCGUACCCCAAACCGACACAGGUGGUCAGGUAGAGAAUACCAAGGCGCUUGAGAGAACUCGGGUGAAGGAACUAGGCAAAAUGGUGCCGUAACUUCGGGAGAAGGCACGCUGACACGUAGGUGAAGUGAUUUACUCAUGGAGCUGAA